GGCUCUGUAUCCCAACUGGAAGAGGACGCCGGCUUAGAACCGGUGAUGUGUGGGUUCGAAUCCCACCAGAGCUA
rnacentral:tRNA from 1 species